UGGGCUCCUCCCGCUGCGGGCCGCCCGCCCGGACGCAAGGCACAGGGGGACGCCCCGCCGAGCCGCUGCCCACUGCACCGAGUUUUUCGGAGGCUGGGAGAGGAAAUGCCACUUGGAUUUUAAAACCGUCACCGAUACGCUAUAGCCCUGCUUUCUCUACCUCCAGUCGUUUUCUGAGGACCGGCUUGGUGGGUGCUGAUGCCUGCCUGGAAGACCUCACACCCACAGUGUCUUAGAAGAUUCUGAAAGCAGUGUGAGACCAGAAUGACCAGCAAAGGAGAAAAGAACAAGGACACAUUGCAGCCAAAAUGGAGCUAGAAUCUUGCCUCUGUCCAUCCUUCACUGGAGUUAUCCUGGAUGGAGAAGGAACCAUAUCACCUGCAAAGCCUGGAAGGGGAGCCCUGCUGUGAGGUCUUUCUCAGGUGAGGCCCCAGGCUGUGACCAGGCCCCUGCCCUGCAUGUGACUCAGGCCUAGCCCCUGCUGGGGCAGGAAUGCCACCCAGCACAGCAUCCUACUGGUGCCUGAAUAAAGAAUGGACUGGAGGUUCACCUGAAAGGGGCUGCCAGGUUUCUGCGGGGGCCAGCCAACGGCUCACAAUGACCCUGUGUUCGACUCAUCUUACGAUGAAAUUUUUCAGCUUGACGAACUUUUACUCAUCUUUCAAGGCUCGGCUCAAAUGUUAUUUCCCUGGGAAAACUGCGCUACUUUCAGCAAAAUGCAUUUCCUUUUGAUGGGCAUCUGUUUUUUUCUUUCUUUCUUUCUUUCUUUUUUUUUUUUUUUUUUUUUUUU
rnacentral:lncRNA from 1 species